GACGAACGCUGGCGGCGUGCCUAAUACAUGCAAGUAGAACGCAGUUGCGAACGGGUGAGUAACGCGUAGGUAACUGCCUCAUAGCGGGGGAUAACUAUUGGAAACGAUAGCUAAUACCGCAUACUGUGAGAUGGACUUGCGUUGGAUUCGCCAGUUGGUGAGGUAAAGGCUCACCAAGGCGACGAUACAUAGCCGACCUGAGAGGGGGAUCGGCCAAAAUGGGGCUGGGGAACGGCCCAGGCACCUACGGGAAGCAGCAGUAGGGAAACUUCGGCAAUGGGAGGAAGUCUGACCGGGCAACGGCGCGGUAGGGGAGAAGGUUUUCGGAUCGGAAAGCUCUGUUGUUUGGGGAGCGGUAACUAACCAGAAAGGGACGGCUAACUACGUGCCAGCAGCCGCGGUAAUAC
rnacentral:rRNA from 1 species